rnacentral:rRNA from 1 species
GGGUUGUGAGGUUAAGCGACUAAGCGUACACGGUGGAUGCCCUGGCAGUCAGAGGCGAUGAAGGACGUGCUAAUCUGCGAAAAGCGUCGGUAAGGUGAUAUGAACCGUUAUAACCGGCGAUGUCCGAAUGGGGAAACCCAGUGCAAUUCGUUGCACUAUCGUUAACUGAAUACAUAGGUUAACGAGGCGAACCGGGGGAACUGAAACAUCUAAGUACCCCGAGGAAAAGAAAUCAACCGAGAUUCCCCCAGUAGCGGCGAGCGAACGGGGAGCAGCCCAGAGUCUGAAUCAGCUUGUGUGUUAGUGGAACGGUCUGGAAAGUCCGACGGUACAGGGUGAUAGUCCCGUACACCAAAAUGCACAGGUUGUGAACUCGAAGAGUAGGGCGGGACACGUGGUAUCCUGUCUGAAUAUGGGGGGACCAUCCUCCAAGGCUAAAUACUCCUGACUGACCGAUAGUGAACCAGUACCGUGAGGGAAAGGCGAAAAGAACCCCGGCGAGGGGAGUGAAAAAGAACCUGAAACCGUGUACGUACAAGCAGUGGGAGCACCUUCGGGUGUGACUGCGUACCUUUUGUAUAAUGGGUCAGCGACUUAUAUUCUGUAGCAAGGUUAACCGUAUAGGGGAGCCGCAGGGAAACCGAGUCUUAACUGGGCGUUAAGUUGCAGGGUAUAGACCCGAAACCCGGUGAUCUAGCCAUGGGCAGGUUGAAGGUUGGGUAACACUAACUGGAGGACCGAACCGACUAAUGUUGAAAAAUUAGCGGAUGACUUGUGGCUGGGGGUGAAAGGCCAAUCAAACCGGGAGAUAGCUGGUUCUCCCCGAAAGCUAUUUAGGUAGCGCCUCGUGAACUCAUCUUCGGGGGUAGAGCACUGUUUCGGCUAGGGGGUCAUCCCGACUUACCAACCCGAUGCAAACUACGAAUACCGAAGAAUGUUAUCACGGGAGACACACGGCGGGUGCUAACGUCCGUCGUGAAGAGGGAAACAACCCAGACCGCCAGCUAAGGUCCCAAAGUCAUGGUUAAGUGGGAAACGAUGUGGGAAGGCACAGACAGCCAGGAUGUUGGCUUAGAAGCAGCCAUCAUUUAAAGAAAGCGUAAUAGCUCACUGGUCGAGUCGGCCUGCGCGGAAGAUGUAACGGGGCUAAACCAUGCACCGAAGCUGCGGCAGCGACACUAUGUGUUGUUGGGUAGGGGAGCGUUCUGUAAGCCUGCGAAGGUGACCUGUGAGGGUUGCUGGAGGUAUCAGAAGUGCGAAUGCUGACAUAAGUAACGAUAAAGCGGGUGAAAAGCCCGCUCGCCGGAAGACCAAGGGUUCCUGUCCAACGUUAAUCGGGGCAGGGUGAGUCGACCCCUAAGGCGAGGCCGAAAGGCGUAGUCGAUGGGAAACAGGUUAAUAUUCCUGUACUUGGUGUUACUGCGAAGGGGGGACGGAGAAGGCUAUGUUAGCCGGGCGACGGUUGUCCCGGUUUAAGCAUGUAGGCUGGUUGUCCAGGCAAAUCCGGAUAAUCAAGGCUGAGGUGUGAUGACGAGGCACUACGGUGCUGAAGUAACAAAUGCCCUGCUUCCAGGAAAAGCCUCUAAGCAUCAGGUAACAUCAAAUCGUACCCCAAACCGACACAGGUGGUCAGGUAGAGAAUACCAAGGCGCUUGAGAGAACUCGGGUGAAGGAACUAGGCAAAAUGGUGCCGUAACUUCGGGAGAAGGCACGCUGGUGUGUAGGUGAAGCCCCUGCGGGUGGAGCUGAGACCAGUCGAAGAUACCAGCUGGCUGCAACUGUUUAUUAAAAACACAGCACUGUGCAAACACGAAAGUGGACGUAUACGGUGUGACGCCUGCCCGGUGCCGGAAGGUUAAUUGAUGGGGUUAUCCGUAAGGAGAAGCUCUUGAUCGAAGCCCCGGUAAACGGCGGCCGUAACUAUAACGGUCCUAAGGUAGCGAAAUUCCUUGUCGGGUAAGUUCCGACCUGCACGAAUGGCGUAAUGAUGGCCAGGCUGUCUCCACCCGAGACUCAGUGAAAUUGAACUCGCUGUGAAGAUGCAGUGUACCCGCGGCAAGACGGAAAGACCCCGUGAACCUUUACUAUAGCUUGACACUGAACAUUGAGCCUUGAUGUGUAGGAUAGGUGGGAGGCUUUGAAGCGUGGACGCCAGUCUGCGUGGAGCCAACCUUGAAAUACCACCCUUUAAUGUUUGAUGUUCUAACGUUGGCCCCUUACCGGGGUUGCGGACAGUGUCUGGUGGGUAGUUUGACUGGGGCGGUCUCCUCCUAAAGCGUAACGGAGGAGCACGAAGGUUAGCUAAUCCUGGUCGGACAUCAGGAGGUUAGUGCAAUGGCAUAAGCUAGCUUGACUGCGAGCGUGACGGCGCGAGCAGGUGCGAAAGCAGGUCAUAGUGAUCCGGUGGUUCUGAAUGGAAGGGCCAUCGCUCAACGGAUAAAAGGUACUCCGGGGAUAACAGGCUGAUACCGCCCAAGAGUUCAUAUCGACGGCGGUGUUUGGCACCUCGAUGUCGGCUCAUCACAUCCUGGGGCUGAAGUAGGUCCCAAGGGUAUGGCUGUUCGCCAUUUAAAGUGGUACGCGAGCUGGGUUUAGAACGUCGUGAGACAGUUCGGUCCCUAUCUGCCGUGGGCGCUGGAGAAUUGAGGGGGGCUGCUCCUAGUACGAGAGGACCGGAGUGGACGCAUCACUGGUGUUCGGGUUGUCAUGCCAAUGGCACUGCCCGGUAGCUAAAUGCGGAAGAGAUAAGUGCUGAAAGCAUCUAAGCACGAAACUUGCCCCGAGAUGAGUUCUCCCUGAGACUUUAAGUCUCCUGAAGGAACGUUGAAGACGACGACGUUGAUAGGCCGGGUGUGUAAGCGCAGCGAUGCGUUGAGCUAACCGGUACUAAUGAACCGUGAGGCUUAACCUUACAACGCCGAAG